AUCCAGCUGACGAGUCCCAAAUAGGACGCAACGCGCUCCCUAGAU
rfam:Schistosoma rodhaini strain Burundi genome assembly, scaffold: SROB_scaffold0001694